UACUUAAAAGCGAAAACUCGCACUAAGUUUCGGCCUUAGUUUUGAGAAGCUCUAUCUCUUAAGUAG
rnacentral:tRNA from 1 species